AGAGUUUGAUCCUGGCUCAGGAUGAACGCUAGCGGGAGGCUUAAUACAUGCAAGUCGAGGGAGAAUUGGUCUUCGGACCAAGGAAACCGGCGCACGGGUGAGUAACGCGUACACAACUUGCCCCUAACUGGGGAAUAGCCCUGGGAAACUGGGAUUAAUACCCCAUAAUAUUGACGAGUCUCAUGAAAUGUCAAUUAAAGUUCCGGCGGUUAGGGACGGGUGUGCGUCUGAUUAGCUAGUUGGUAGGGUAACGGCCUACCAAGGCUACGAUCAGUAGGGGGCGUGAGAGCGUGAUCCCCCACACGGGUACUGAGACACGGACCCGACUCCUACGGGAGGCAGCAGUAAGGAAUAUUGGACAAUGGAGGCAACUCUGAUCCAGCCAUCCCGCGUGUAGGAAGAAGGCCCUAUGGGUUGUAAACUACUUUUGUCAGGGAAUAAACCUCUCGAUUUACUCGGGAGCUGAAGGUACCUGAAGAAUAG
rnacentral:rRNA from 1 species